rnacentral:rRNA from 1 species
CAAUAGCGUAUAUUAAAGUUGUUGCAGUUAAAAAGCUCGUAGUUGGAUUUCUGGUUGAAGCGACCGGUCGGGCGUUGAUUCGUCUGCACUGGAGUCGGUUUUGGCCAUCCUCUAGGAAAGUGCGUCUGGUAUUAAGUUAUCGGGCGUAUGAUCCUGGUCUUUUACUGUGAAAAAAUUAGAGUGUUUAAAGCAGGCCUUCGCCUUGAAUACAUUAGCAUGGAAUAAUAAGAUAGGACUUUGGUCUAUUUUGUUGGUUUGCAGACCGAAGUAAUGAUUAAUAGGGAUAGUUGAGGGUAUUUAUAUUCCGAUGUCAGAGGUGAAAUUCUUAGAUUUUCGGAAGAUAAACUUAUGCGAAAGCAUUUACCAAGGAUGUUUUCAUUA